rnacentral:rRNA from 1 species
UACGGGGGGGGCAAGCGUUGUUCGGAAUUACUGGGCGUAAAGCGCACGUAGGCGGAUCUUUAAGUCAGGGGUGAAAUCCUGGAGCUCAACUCCAGAACUGCCUUUGAUACUGGGGAUCUCGAGUCCGGAAGAGGUGAGUGGAACUCCGAGUGUAGAGGUGAAAUUCGUAGAUAUUCGGAAGAACACCAGUGGCGAAGGCGGCUCACUGGUCCGGUACUGACGCUGAGGUGCGAAAGCGUGGGGAGCAAACAGG